ACAGAUGAGCCUGUGAUGCUAGGAAAGUCACAACCCUGUGGCCUUCAGUUUCCUCCUCUGAGUUUGUCCAAUCUGUGCCCAUCGCACUCAUUCUAACUUCCCUGGAAAAUGCAGAAGAUGGGAGUUCCAGAAGCUGAUUGAUGAUUUAACUCCAAAUAGCAGAAGGCAGGUUAAACCAGGUUGAGGAUAAUUGAUAGGACUUGAACCUGUCAGGUGAAUUAAGGCAAUGUCUACCCUAAGCAUGUGAAGACUUCCCUAGGGGAAUGGUGGAUGAGAACUAUUUGUUCCAAUGUCCUUGGAGUCUCUUUCUAAAGCAGGGGCCAUGGAGAACUUAGAGGUUGGUGAGACCUUAAAGCCACUAUGUUAUCCACUGAUUCAUGGGCCAUCACUAGGCAUCCUGACACAUCUUGUCACUGGAUAUGAGCACCUCUACAAGAGAGAGUAAGGCUGAUGACUUUGUGAAACUGCCUCACUUCAAUCAAGUUCAUACAUUCUUCAGGAAGAAGCAUUUGCGUGCACUGGAGGCUGAAUCCUAGACUUUUUUUUCUUCACAUUUUCUGCAAGGAAGUGGGUCUAAUAAAAAGGAGGAGCCUGCAGGAGGACAGAAGUCUACAUGAGAAGAGGCUGAAGGUAUCAUAUCAAGUCCCACCAGAUUUGAGAGACUUAAAGACUUUGGGGAAAUGGGGUAGUAUUUUGAUUGUUAGAUUUUGCCAAAGGCAGACUGCCUGCCUUUCUGACUCAAAUUGUCAAUGUGCCAUUGGCAUUGGGAAAUGCCCCCAAAUGCCAAUUACCAGUAUCUGUACCCUAGGUUUUCCCACCAUUAGCGAUGGAGCCCAACCCCAUAUAGCAUUACUCAUUUGUCCAUAUAUUUGGUCAAUGAUGUUUAGUCCUGAACAAAAGAGGGGUGAGUCAAUGUGGAAAUCUUGAAGUCGCCAGUUUAUUUAGUCGGGAGGUAGAAACCACAGGAUUUGACCUUGUUACUGGAGAGUUUCCCCCACUACGGGAAGGUCCUACCCCCAUAAUGCAGCUUCUUAGAGAGUAAGAUUAGAGCUGGGUGGGAGGUAGACUCUAAAGGAGAAGGUAGUCCUGAAAGGGGUUCAGGCCAGCCCUGAUUCCGGAGAUGCUAGUCUUCCCUGAACACCUUAUUUAUGUGCCAAAUAUCCUGUUAAUUACUGUAUUACCUGCAAUACUUGACUCACAAGUACUUUGUGAAACAGGGAAUGCAAUACAAUGAUCACUCCCCAAAGUGGAGUCUAAAACAAAGAAUUUAAGUGACUCAGUAAUUCUUAAAAGAUUUCAGACUCAAAUUCAGUUCUUUUGAUUCCAAGUCUGAGCUCUUUCCCCAAAGUCAUGUUGCCCCUUGUUAGAAAGAGAUUACAUAGGAACCAGGAAUACAGGGGACUGUGUUUAUUUUUGUUGGGCUCAGAUAAAAACUUAGGACCCCCAUAAAUCGCAAUUUAAGAGGAGCAUUCCUUCUGGGAAGUCAGGCAGAACAGGAUGCCCCUAAGCCCCUUAUCAGUAACAGCCUGGUGACCCUUAUUAGCCAGUAGCUGUAAUUGGAAAACUGUUCUCUACACCUAUAGAACAGAAUAUAAACCCUGCAUCAACCCCGAGGCGGGGUCCAGACUUGUACUUUUGGUCCUGGACCCUAACUUGAACUAGCAAUAAAGUUUCCCUUGUGAUUACA
rnacentral:lncRNA from 1 species